CUUUGUUUUCCACUGAGCACACCUUGCAGGGUGACAGCCAGACAUGAGUGUCCUGUCCUCCAUGGAGUGAACUGGAGAAGAUUGAUGCUUGACUUUGUACAAGGCUGGGUCCGUAUCGGCACACUGCCUCCCUUACCGUGGUGAGACUGCACUGGGUGACAUUCUGUGGUGCGCACGAGCCGACUUGAGCCGACUUGACCUUCCCACCCUGAGGAGAGUAACACUUUAUUAUUUUUUUUUUCUAACAAAUUUACUACCAGGCUAAUUUUACUUAUGCCGUUGGUAUUUUAACUGGGAUUUUAACAAUAUACUUGUAAUAAAAUUUACUUACUUUUGUACAA